UUUCCGUAGGUGAACCUGCGGAAGGAUCAUUAUUGUAUAACCGACUUGCGAAGCCUGUCGCUGACCCGAAAUGUCGUUCACGCGCGACUGCCCUCACACACAUACAUCUCACCCCUAUGUGCACCACCGCGUGACUCCCCCUCUAGCUGGUUCGCAGGAGUACUUACAUUUUCACACAAACUUUGUAUACAGUGUAUAAUUUAUUUUUGUUUUUGCGAUCACGCAAUCCAUACAAGUUUCAACAACGGAUCUCUUCGCUCUCGCAUCGAUGAAGAACUC
rnacentral:misc_RNA from 1 species